AUUCAGACGAUUGUCCAAUCUGCCGCUAGAUGGUGUUGGUAUUGUUUAUAAAAAUGGCGAACUGUGUGUAGACUGCUGUAUCCGAAUUUUCAUGUUUUUACCAAGUCAACCAAUUAAGGCAAUUAUUUACAUAAAAUGUACCUGCCGUCUAGUCAUUAGAUUAAAUUUGGCCCCUGUUGUAAGAAAAAAUUACUCAAAACUUCCUUAACUCACACCCUCUGCAUCAUCCUCUCACAUCUUAGACAAAACUUCGAGCUGUUUUUUCCCAAAAGCUGUGGCAUUGGAUGUAUGGUUACAGGUUUGUUCUUGCCUGAAGAUGUUUACACCUUUGAACACUUGGUGAUGUUGUUGUGUCAUGAAAUUGUAUUGCUGCCAUUCCCUGCAUCUCCCAAUUCACAGCUACAAGAAAUGAGUAAUAGGAAGCCUACAACAGAUUGAAGAAAAGGAAUUCAUAGGUUUUGUGGUACCGGAAUGCCAUUGAAUCCAUUGGAUUUCGCGAUUCAGCCGCCGAUGUAAAUCUACAACGCAGUUUCUUUAUUGGAAUUGUGUGGUCCUGGCACAGAGAUCCUUGAUGCUGGCCUUUGUCCAUAACAGAAGAGGACUUCUACCAACUUUCUGCUCCAUCCUUAUCUUCGCUACCCAAACUCAUCUAGCUUCUCUGCAUAUUAUGCUGCUAAACAAUUUGUCGUACUUCACUGACGAGUUAGACCAGUCGCUUCCGUCCGCAGAACACACCUACUGUCACUCACCACAGGAUUAUGCCCAGGUAAUGCAGAUGAGAUAUCAAGAAGAUGGAAUUCCGAGACUCGUCAUCAACGUGGAUCAUCGCGACCGGCACCAAGAUUCGUCAUCAACGCGGAUCAUCGUAUUGUUGGUAUUGUUUCGUUAUGUGUUAGUUAAGCCGUUGGCUGCCACGCCUUUGUUCUCCCCUAGCUCCUUAGCACGGGCCUCCUAGAGGCCUCCUAAAGCCGUGCAUUCCAUCCUCCCUUGUCACCUUGUCAGCCCGGACUUGUCAGCAAUGGCAAGUCCCACCUUGGCCAUGGAUCCUUCAGACGUGGCGCGUAGAGAGUAGAAAACAACCUACGGGUUGUAUGGCGUGGCAGCCAACGGGUUAACUUAAGUGUAUGUGUGUGUAAAUGUGUACGUAAUUAUGUCAUGUUAUGUUUGUAAAAAGUGGAGGAAUUGUGGGUGGAGGUGGGACAAUAUAAGCAAUUCCUUA